AAAGACUCCGUGUUAUCUCCCCCGUGCGAGAUAUCACUCAUCAAACUAAUCGAGAAGUACUCACGGUUUAAAGAAGUCGAUGGCCACACUUCCGAGAUCUGGCGGUUUUUGGGAUGUAAUACUCGUCGACUCGAAGUGGAGGCGAAUUUGACGGAACAGAAUACUUUCACGCGGACUUUAUAACCGGGAGUAUAAAAUCGCGCGAAGAUCGUUUCCGCGAGUGUGUCAAAGGACAGCCUGAGUGGAGGAGGAGGGCAAGGAAAGGCAUCGGGCACCGGUGCAGCAACUUCACGGCUGUUGGAGAAGAGGACAGCCUGAGUGGAGGAGGAAGCUAAGAAAAGGCAUCAGGCGCCGGCGGA